rnacentral:rRNA from 1 species
UACGUAGGAUCCAAGCGUUGUCCGGAUUUACUGGGUGUAAAGGGUGCGCAGGCGGACUUGUUAGUCAGAGGUGAAAUCUCACUGCUCAACAGUGAAACUGCCUUUGAUACUGCAGGUCUUGAAUCCAGAAGAGAGUUGUGGAAUUCCGAGUGUAGCAGUGAAAAUGUGUAGAUAUUCGGAAGAACACCAGCGGCGAAGGCAGCAACUUGGUCUGGUAUUGACGCUCAGGCACGAAAGCAUGGGGAUCAAACAGG